rnacentral:rRNA from 1 species
CCUACGGGUGGCUGCAGUGGGGAAUAUUGCACAAUGGGGGAAACCCUGAUGCCGCGACGCCGCGUGAGCGAUGAAGUAUUUCGGUAUGUAACGCUCUAUCCGCAGGGACGAACAUGACGGUACCUGAAUAAGAAGCCCCGGCUAACUACGUGCCAGCAGCCGCGGUACUACGUAGGGGGCAAGCGUUAUCCGGCUUUACUGGGUGUAAAGGGAGCGUAGACGGUCCUGCAAGCCAGAUGUGAAAGCCCGGGGCUCAACCCCGGGACUGCAUUUGGACAUGUAAGGCUAGAGUGUCGGAGAGGCAGGCGGAAUGCCUAGUGUAGCGGUGAAAUGCGUAGAAAUUAGGAGGAACACCAGUGGCGAAGGCGGCCUGCUGGACGAUGACUGACGUUGAGGCUCGAAAGCGUGGGGAGCAAACAGGAUUAGAUACCCGAGUAGUC